rnacentral:rRNA from 1 species
CAGUAGCCGCGGGAAUACGUAGGGUGCAAGCGUUAAUCGGAAUUACUGGGCGUAAAGCGCGCGUAGGUGGUUUGUUAAGUUGGAUGUGAAAUCCCCGGGCUCAACCUGGGAACUGCAUCCAAAACUGGCAAGCUAGAGUAUGGUAGAGGGUGGUGGAAUUUCCUGUGUAGCGGUGAAAUGAGUAGAUAUAGGAAGGAACACCAGUGGCGAAGGCGACCACCUGGACUGAUACUGACACUGAGGUGCGAAAGCGUGGGGAGCAAACAGGAUUAGAUACCCCAGUAGUCCCUGUCUCUUAUAC